rnacentral:rRNA from 1 species
CUACGGGACGCUGCAGUGGGGAAUAUUGCACAAUGGAGGAAACUCUGAUGCAGCAACGCCGCGUGGAGGAUGACACUUUUCGGAGCGUAAACUCCUUUUAUAUAGGAAGAAGAUGACGGUACUAUAUGAAUAAGCGCCGGCUAACUCCGUGCCAGCAGCCGCGGUAAUACGGAGGGCGCAAGCGUUACUCGGAAUCACUGGGCGUAAAGAGCGUGUAGGCGGAUUAAAAAGUCAGAAGUGAGAUCCUAUAGCUUAACUAUAGAACUGCUUCUGAAACUCUUAAUCUAGAAUAUGGGAGAGGUAGAUGGAAUUUCUGGUGUAGGGGUAAGAUCCGUAGAGAUCAGAAGGAAUACCGAUCGCGAAGGCGAUCUACUAGAACAUUAUUGACGCUGAGACGCGAAAGCGUGGGGAGCAAACAGGAUUAGAUACCCCCGUAGUC